UUUUAUAAAUUUAUGUUAACACGGCUUAAUUCCAUUAAUUACUUACAUUUUAACUCAAACUUUUCAAGAUUUACUCCGAAACAGUUCAAAUUUGUGGAACUCGUGUGCUAUAAAGCGCAAACUCUAUCACACUCUAAUGUAGAAAGAACAAGUAGACACGUGUAGACUUUGUUCAGACGGUUGGGUUUUGUUAUCCAAUAGGAUUUUGAGACAAAGGACCUGGGCAUACCAUCACGCAGCGGUCAGUUUUGUAACGUCAGAGAGUAAAAUAUCCCAGUUGCCAACGGUAACGUUCUGCAAUCUGACACCUUGUUAUCG